UCCUAUCUCUCCCCACGCUCUUCUCUUCCUCCUACCCAUCUUCUCUCUCCCGAGUGAGCUCCCGCGGGACGGCCCCGACCCCAGCCCUGGGCGGCGUGCCGGCGAGCCCGAGCUCCCAUGUGACGUUAUUAGCCCCGGCCCUAGGCAGCGGCGGCAUGCCCGGGCUCUUGUGCAACGGCCCCGGCCCCGUCCCUGGACGGCCGCGGCAGGGAGCCUGACUUCUGGACGGCCGCGGCCGCGGGCAGCCCGAGCUCCCGUGUGGCGAUGCCUGGGUCAGUCUUCUCUCUUUCUUUCCUCAAUCCACAACAGAUGCGAGCUCGAGCUUCAAAUCCGGGGUGGAUCUAAGGUGCGGGAGGGCGGAUUCGAGGUGAGGGUGGCUGGACCUCGCGGCGCCAUUGUGAAAUCGGGAGGGAAGGAGGCGGGAGAGGGUGGCAAGCUGGCGAGGAUGGCUCCUCGGGGAGGGAAUUCGUGCGCACGCGGGAGGGAAAACUGCAUUACCGGUAGAGUAAGGGCUUCGCUCUCCACCAGUGGGAGAAGGGGCUGGAGGGGGGAAAAGCAGGAGCCUCCCUAAAGUAAGUAGGGGUCUGAGAAGUGUGUUUUUUGCCCUGGUUCCAAUUUUUUGGAUAGAGGUUUUGCUGGAGUUGCUUAAAAAAACCGUGUCUCAAGAAAUAAGAUUUGUUUUUCGUUCAUCCCUGUUGAGGAGCAUCUCGGAGACUUAUUUUCUCUUUUUGAUCAGCUCGCUUGAAAGUUGGACGGCAUGUAUAGAUUCUAAUAAAGGUAUAUGUGAUUUUGAUACAAAAAAUAGCAUGAUAUGGAAUAUCUUAAAAAAAUAUUCAAAAUAAAGAUAAUGUUUUUGUUGAGGACCUUCUUGGGAAGACAUGUUUUGAAGGAACAAUUGAGGAAUAGGAACUAAAGGAGAACUUCCAAUAAAUGGUUAUUGGACUGGACGAAUUGGUUCGCCAUCGUCGACGUUGGAAUUCACGAGAUCUUAUUAUCUACCUCAU
rnacentral:lncRNA from 1 species